AUUGAACGCUGGCGGCAGGCCUAACACAUGCAAGUCGAACGAGUGGCGGACGGGUGAGUAAUGUAUGGGAAACUGCCCGAUGGAGGGGGAUAACUAAUGGAAACGGUAGCUAAUACCGCAUACCAUCGGAUGUGCCCAGAUGGGAUUAGCUAGUAGGUGGGGUAAAGGCUCACCUAGGCGACGAUCCCUAGCUGGUCUGAGAGGAUGCCCAGCCACACUGGAACUGAGACACGGCCCAGACUCCGACGGGAGGCAGCAGUGGGGAAUAUUGCACAAUGGGCGAAAGCCUGAUGCAGCCAUGCCGCGUGUAUGAAGAAGGCCUUCGGGUUGUAAAGUACUUGCAGCGGGGAGGCGUUACCCGCAGAAGAAGCACCGGCGAACUCCGUGCCAGCAGCCGCGGUAAUAC
rnacentral:rRNA from 1 species